AAGGCACCAGUGGGGAAUAUUGCACAAUGGGGGAAACCCUGAUGCAGCCAUGCCGCGUGUGUGAAGAAGGCCUUCGGGUUGUAAAGCACUUUCAGUAGGGAGGAAAGGGUGUAGNUUAAUACGNUAUAUCUGUGACGUUACCUACAGAAGAAGGACCGGCUAACUCCGUGCCAGCAGCCGCGGUAAUACGGAGGGUCCGAGCGUUAAUCGGAAUUACUGGGCGUAAAGCGUGCGCAGGCGGUUUGUUAAGCGAGAUGUGAAAGCCCUGGGCUCAACCUAGGAAUAGCAUUUCGAACUGGCGAACUAGAGUCUUGUAGAGGGGGGUAGAAUUCCAGGUGUAGCGGUGAAAUGCGUAGAGAUCUGGAGGAAUACCGGUGGCGAAGGCGGCCCCCUGGACAAAGACUGACGCUCAUGCACGAAAGCGUGGGGAGCAAACAGGAUUAGAUACCCUGGUAGUCCACGCCGUAAACGAUGUCUACUCGGAGUUUGGUGUCUUGAACACUGGGCUCUCAAGCUAACGCAUUAAGUAGACCGCCUGGGGAGUACGGCCGCAAGGUUAAAACUCAAAUGAAUUGACGGGGGCCCGCACAAGCGGUGGAGCAUGUGGUUUAAUUCGAUGCAACGCGAAGAACCUUACCUACUCUUGACAUCCACGGAAUUCGCUAGAGAUAGCUUAGUGCCUUCGGGAACCGUGAGACAGGUGCUGCAUGGCUGUCGUCAGCUC
rnacentral:rRNA from 1 species